UUUAUGUAUCAAUUCUUAGGCUCCGUUUGUUUGCAAGGAUUUGGUUUUCCAGAAAACAUUUUUCUUCUUUUACGGUGUUCGGUUGCAAGAGUGGAAAAUAUUUUCCAAGACACGGGUAAAAUCUCAUUUGUUUUAGGGAAAAUGUCUUACGGAUUUUUUUUCCUGUAAGACAUUUUCCAUCUCCUUCUUUAUCUAGGUAAAAUUGCUAAUCCUUUUUCCAUUCUUCAUCUUCUUAUUAUUUCUUCUCUUUUUCCUUAGUCUGUCCCAUAUUAUAGACGUUAUAUUCGAGGUUUUACAGACGCUGCUGUUUCGUUUCCAAUUCUCUUCGCAGUUUGUGGAGAUUCAAUUUGACUGGAGGGGAAGGAUUUCAGGAGCUGCCAUCAGGACUUAUUUAUUAGAAAGAUCACGUGUUUGUCAAGUGUCUAAUCCUGAGAGAAAUUAUCACUGUUUCUACAUGCUUUGUGCAACACCACCAGAACUUAUUGGAGAGGAAGAAUCAACCAAAACAAUUUAGGUCAGCUUCCACAACUAAGCAUUCCACAAGUAUGAAAACUUGAAGGUGGUCUGUCAAUGGGUUAGGCCUCUACACAAAUAUGAAAACUGGAGAGCUGACAUUCUAUUUUGGAUUGAGAUCAAAUACAACAUAGUCAGGUCGGACAUCAACUGCAGGCUCUUCAGUGAAGUUGAAAUCACCAAAUAAGAAACGCCAAACUGGUGGAGAUCCUAUAAUCACACAAGAAUCAGUUGCAAAUUAGAAGCAAGCAAAGAGCUUUGGUAUUUUGUUAGUUUGAUAUUGGAUAUUGGAUUUGGUUGGUAUUAGUACAGAGUUUGUGCUGGUAUAGCCAUUGUUUUGUUUUUGGUAAAGGCAAUAUUUUGGUGUUGGUUGAUAUUGCUAUAGGCACUUUGUUAUUGUUGGGUUCUUUUUGCUUGUGCCAAUGCUGGAUGGGUUGAUAAAGGCCUACAAUAUUUCCACUCAAUAAAGACAUACAAGGAUUAAUCCAUACUGCUGAUCAUUGUACUUGUGUAAUUGACUUAUUAGCUCGAUGUGGAAAUAUAUGAAUUAACCUAUACUACUGAUCAUUACUAUUGUAUAA